rnacentral:rRNA from 1 species
CCCUUUGGGUGUGACUGCGUACCUUUUGUAUAAUGGGUCAGCGACUUAUAUUCUGUAGCAAGGUUAACCGAAUAGGGGAGCCGGAGGGAAACCGAGUCUUAACCGGGCGUUAAGUUGCAGGGUAUAGACCCGAAACCCGGUGAUCUAGCCAUGGGCAGGUUGAAGGUUGGGUAACACUAACUGGAGGACCGAACCGACUAAUGUUGAAAAAUUAGCGGAUGACCUGUGGCUGGGGGUGAAAGGCCAAUCAAACCGGGAGAUAGCUGGUUCUCCCCGAAAGCUAUUUAGGUAGCGCCUCGUGAAUUCAUCUCCGGGGGUAGAGCACUGUUUCGGCUAGGGGGCCAUCCCGGCUUACCAACCCGAUGCAAACUGCGAAUACCGGAGAAUGUUAUCACGGGAGACACACGGCGGGUGCUAACGUCCGUCGUGAAGAGGGAAACAACCCAGACCGCCAGCUAAGGUCCCAAAGUCAUGGUUAAGUGGGAAACGAUGUGGGAAGGCCCAGACAGCCAGGAUGUUGGCUUAGAAGCAGCCAUCAUUUAAAGAAAGCGUAAUAGCUCACUGGUCGAGUCGGCCUGCGCGGAAGAUGUAACGGGGCUAAACCAUGCACCGAAGCUGCGGCAGCGACACUGUGUGUUGUUGGGUAGGGGAGCGUUCUGUAAGCCUGUGAAGGUGUGUCG